rnacentral:rRNA from 1 species
GCAAACUGCGCGUCGCCAUGUGAACUGCAGGACACAUGAUCAUUGACAUGUUGAACGCAUAUUGCGCCUUAUACAUUUGGUUCUCUUUAUAAUGUACACAUUUAUAAUGUGGAACUGUAUAAGGUACAUAUGGUUGAGUGUCGUAAUUUCAUAUGAUUAAAACUAUAAGCGUUGUGGUGUUACACACACGAUAGCGCAUAAUAGAGUGUCAUUAAAGCCGUCGCUGCUGCUACCUAGUAGUGGUGACGAUUUAUGACUAAAAUGCUAAUCUAAUGUCAGUUUACGCCUAUUUUUAAGUAAAUGGGGGGAAGAGUGAAAAAAUCAAAAUUCGCACAUACACGUGUGAUGAAUAUAUUGAGUGUUUCUUUUCAUUGAAAAGUCCUCUCUGGCGCUAACUUUACAGACUUGUGCGCUUACACACUUGUGUGUUUGCAUGUGGUAUGUUGUUAGUUGCACUUGUUUCAUCACAAAACUACUGUGUGUAUGUGAGUAACGAUUUUGAGAAAAGUCACUCUUUCUAAUGUACUACAGAGGUGUAUAUAUGUAUAUAAU